UAUUGCACAAUGGUCGAAAGCCUGAUGCAGCAACUCCGCGUGAGCGAUUAAGGCCUUCGGGUCGUAAAGCUCUGUCCUCAAGGAAGAUAAUGACGGUACUUGAGGAGGAAGCCCCGUCUAACUACGUGCCAGCAGCCGCGGUAAUACGUAGGGUGCUAGCGUUAUCCGGAAUUACUGGGCGUAAAGGGUGCGUAGGUGGUUUCUUAAGUCAGAGGUGAAAGGGUACGGCUCAACCGUAGUAAGCCUUUGAAACUGGGGAACUUGAGUGCAGGAGAGGAGAGUGGAAUUCCUAGUGUAGCGGUGAAAUGCGUAGAUAUUAGGAGGAACACCAGUUGCGAAGGCGGCUCUCUGGACUGUAACUGACGUUGAGGCUCGAAAGCGUGGGGAGCAAACAG
rnacentral:rRNA from 1 species